GUCUUUGUAGAGUAUGGUAGCUCACUACCCUUCAGUUAUAUAGCCGCGCCGCGUACGGAGGAAGCCGGUGGUUCGACUCCACCCGAAGACG